rnacentral:lncRNA from 1 species
GUGGAUUAAAUUGAUUAGAAAUAUUAAUCUUUUAAAUCAAAAGAUAUUAUGAUGAAAUAUAUUAGUUGUAAAUAAGGAAGGAUUUUAUUGAUAAUGAAAAGAUACUAUAAAUUUUGAUCUAAUCUGAUCAUAGCCGGAUAAUUUUGUCAGUAGUUUGCUUCAUUGUAGAUAAUGCCAAGAAAUUCUAGAUAUCUCAAGUUUAUUAACAGCU